rnacentral:misc_RNA from 1 species
CGAAGGCGCUGGUAUCUCGGGUCGCGACGGAGAGACCCUGUGAGACGGCGACGGCCGCGAUAUAGCCAUCGGGUGUUGGAAAGCCUUUGCCAGCGUUGCGGGCUCUGACGGCCAGAUCGGCAUAGCAGCGGGCGGCAGCGACAUCGAAGGGAAGGAGACGAACAUCUUCAUCAGACCGGCAAGCGCCUCGGUCAGUUUGUCUUUGCGGCGGCCCGCGCGCAGCACGCCGAUGCCGAACAACAAUUCCGCGAUCGUCACGCUGGAAAGGUACAGCGUCUCGGCGGCUUGGGUAUCGAGCCAGCCGCGGACGUUGGCGUCGGGUUCGGGCUUCAUCGCCUCGGAGACGACAUUGGUGUCCAGGAGGAUCAUUUGAAGCGCAUCGGCUCGGCAGGCUUGCGGUCGCGGGCCUGAUCGAGGGCCGCGAAAUCCGCGUUGGUCAGGCCGAGGCGGCGGC